AUUGAACGCUGGCGGCAUGCUUUACACAUGCAAGUCGAACGGUAACAGGUUAAGCUGACGAGUGGCGAACGGGUGAGUAAUGCAUCGGAACGUGCCCGGUCGUGGGGGAUAACGCAGCGAAAGCUGCGCUAAUACCGCAUACGAUCUGAGGAUGAAAGCGGGGGACCGUAAGGCCUCGCGUGAUCGGAGCGGCCGCUGUCAGAUUAGGUAGUUGGUGGGGUAAAGGCUCACCAAGCCAACGAUCUGUAGCUGGUCUGAGAGGACGACCAGCCACACUGGGACUGAGACACGGCCCAGACUCCUACGGGAGGCAGCAGUGGGGAAUUUUGGACAAUGGGCGAAAGCCUGAUCCAGCAAUGCCGCGUGCAGGAAGAAGGCCUUCGGGUUGUAAACUGCUUUUGUACGGAGCGAAAAGGUCUCCUCUAAUACAGGGGGCUCAUGACGGUACCGUAAGAAUAAGCACCGGCUAACUACGUGCCAGCCGCCGCAGUAA
rnacentral:rRNA from 1 species